GUGCGCAUGCGCCGCGUCGGCGUGCGGAACGCCGCGGUCUGUUGGCGCUUUUGCGCGCGGAAAGAUGGCGGAACAGGCUACCAAGUCCGUGCUGUUUGUGUGUCUGGGUAACAUUUGUCGAUCACCCAUUGCAGAAGCAGUUUUCAGGAAACUUGUAACUGAUCAAAACAUCUCAGAGAAUUGGAGGGUAGACAGCGCGGCGACUUCCGGGUAUGAGAUAGGGAACGCCCCUGACUACCGAGGGCAGAACUGCAUGAAGAGGCACGGCAUCCCCAUGAGCCACGUUGCCCGGCAGGUACCGUCCUUGGACUUGAAGAUGUGUGUUUUGUGUUUCAGUGGGUCAUUGACAGCGGUGCUGUUUCUGACUGGAACGUGGGCCGGUCCCCAGACCCAAGAGCUGUGAGCUGCCUAAGAAAUCAUGGCAUUCACACAGCCCAUAAAGCAAGACAGAUUACCAAAGAAGAUUUUGCCACGUUUGAUUAUAUACUAUGUAUGGAUGAAAGCAAUCUGAGAGAUUUGAAUAGAAAAAGUAAUCAAGUUAAAACCUGCAAAGCUAAAAUUGAACUACUUGGGAGCUAUGAUCCACAAAAACAACUUAUUAUUGAAGAUCCCUAUUAUGGGAAUGACUCUGACUUUGAGACGGUGUACCAGCAAUGUGUCAGGUGCUGCAGAGCGUUCUUGGAGAAGGCCGACUGAGGCAGGUUCAUGCCCUGCUGUGGCCAGCCUGACUAGACCCCACCCUGAGGUCCUGCAUUCUCAGUCAGUGUGUAAUCAUGUUCCAGAGCCCAAAGGCCCAGCUCUUUGUUCAGUUGACUUACUGUUUCUUACCUUAAAAAAUAUUGUAGAUGGAAAUCAGUUAUGUUUGGCAGAAGAAUCAAUAAAAUUAUUUGAUUCUGACAGUUUAUGGGGUAUAGUAAGCAUUCUUAGACUAGUUGAACAUCUCACUUUGCCCCAAUUACAAAAAUAGUAGAACAAGCAACAUAAAACAUAAUGAAGGAAAACCUCACUUGAAGGCCCAGGUCAGCAUCUAAGCCCGCUGAGACUUAGUCAAGUCUACCUCUUCAGUAGGUUCGUGUGGAUGGCCUGAUGGGGGGCAGGUGCCCUCUGCUCCCUGUGCUACCUCUCUCUUGCCCAGGGCCUUUUAUGGAUUGACAGUAGCCCUCUCCAUAGGAGCUCACAGUCUAGAUUAGAAGUGUUUUAAUUUAUACACACCCAUAGUGCACACUUGUAUAUUGAAAAGAUAGGGAAGAGAGAAACAUUUAUGGAAACAGUCGUUAGCACCUUCAAUACUUCAUGAUUUUUGUUGAGUUUACUUCAUGAGGAAGUCAGCUCAUUUGCUCCCAUCUGAACCACUUUGCCUCUGAAACUUAAUUAUAUCCAGAAAGAAGGACGCUUGUAUGCUAGUCUAACUAUGGUCAGUUGAGGAAUAUGACACUUUUUAUAUGCACAUGUAACCCAAAUGUCCAAUAUAAAUUGGCUUAUUUUUAAAAAUAAUUUUAAAAGUUGGGAAACGCUUUAUUAUUUGGCAUGCUUAAAUAUUAAGUAUUCUUCAUCAGCAUUUAAUAAAUGUAUAGGCAGAUAUAGGUAAUUUCUGUGUAUUGAGAUAAUGUCGAAAUCAUGAAUAUUUCAAAAUAAACUGGGGAGUUAUAAAAAUACAACUAGAGAUAUAAA